rnacentral:snoRNA from 1 species
GAGCGGGCGUGAUGAACGAAUUUUGUCAAUCAAACAGUUAUCCCUGACGGAAAAGCAUUUGUCGAUAUGAUGGACUCUGACCCAAUC